CUGGCGGCGUGCCUAACACAUGCAAGUCGAGCGGGGACAUGCGACGGAAGUGAAGUUUCGGAUGGAGCGGAAGAUGUAUGUUCUAGCGGCGGACGGGUGAGUAACGCGUGAGCAACCUGUCCCUUACAGGGGGAUAACACAGCGAAAGUUGUACUAAUACCGCAUAAGACCACGAUAUCACAUGGUAUAGGGGUCAAAGGAGCAAUCCGGUAAGGGGUGGGCUCGCGUCCGAUUAGAUAGUUGGUGAGGUAACGGCCCACCAAGUCGACGAUCGGUAGCCGACCUGAGAGGGUGAUCGGCCACAUUGGGACUGAGACACGGCCCAAACUCCUACGGGAGGCAGCAGUGGGGAAUAUUGGGCAAUGGGGGAAACCCUGACCCAGCAACGCCGCGUGAGGGAAGAAGGUUUUCGGAUCGUAAACCUCUGUCCUUGGUGAAGAGAGAGAGACGGUAGCCAAGGAGGAAGCCCCGGCUAACUACGUGCCAGCAGCGGC
rnacentral:rRNA from 1 species